rnacentral:rRNA from 1 species
UACAGAGGUCCCAAGCGUUGUUCGGAUUCACUGGGCGUAAAGGGGUGCGUAGGUGGCGAGGUAAGUCGGAUGUGAAAGCUCGGAGCUCAACUCCGAAAUGGCAUUGGAAACUACCUUGCUCGAGGGUUGGAGGGGGGACUGGAAUUCUCGGUGUAGCAGUGAAAUGCGUAGAUAUCGAGAGGAACACCAGUGGCGAAAGCGACUUCCUGGACCAAUACUGACACUCAAGUGCGAAAGCGUGGGGAGCAAACAGG